UGUAGUGGUGUUUCGAGUAAUCAAGGGAGGCGAAACAAGAUGAAAAUGGAGGAAACCUAUGGAGUGUUGUGCUUUGGAGAAGAUAAAGAUGAAUGGGUCUAGGUUUUAGGCAAAUCCAACAAUACCUUCUGUACUCCAUGGCCAAUCUUCACACCUUUUGCACCCCAUGGCCAAUCUUCGCACCUUUUGCACCCCAUGGCCAAUCUUCACACAUUCUUUAUUUCUUUUGUAGGGUUGGUUUAUGGACAAACGGACCAAGAUGCAAUGCGGGGGUGAACCAGAAUAUUCAGUUUGCAUUUCCAAAGCGGGGACGAGCCAACCCAACCCACUUUUCAAGAGUCAACUAGAGAAAGGACCUAAAUUGAAGAUGCAUGAAGAAGCAAGUCAACUUUAACACAUUCCUCUCUGUCCUGCCUAAUUUCCUUCAUCAUUGCUACAACAUCUUUCAUGGUUGGUCUGUCAUCUGGGCUUGAGUUCACACACAGCAAAGCCACUCCU